UACGGAGGGUGCGAGCGUUAUCCGGAAUCACUGGGCGUAAAGGGCGCGUAGGCGGCUUGUUAAGUCCGUUGUCAAAUGUCGAGGCUUAACCUCGGAACGGCAGUGGGUACUGGCAGGCUGGACGGCUGGAGAGGCGAGUGGAAUUACCAGUGUAGCGGUGGAAUGCGUAGAUACUGGUAGGAACACCCAUGGCGAAGGCAGCUCGCUGGACAGCUCGUGACGCUGAGGCGCGAAAGUGUGGGGAGCAAACCGG
rnacentral:misc_RNA from 1 species